CGCGUGAGCGAUGAAGGCCUUCGGGUCGUAAAGCUCUGCCCUCAAGGAAGAUAAUGACGGUACUUGAGGAGGAAGCCCCGGCUAACUACGUGCCAGCAGCCGCGGUAAUACGUAGGGGGCUAGCGUUAUCCGGAAUUACUGGGCGUAAAGGGUGCGUAGGUGGUUUCUUAAGUCAGAGGUGAAAGGCUACGGCUCAACCGUAGUAAGCCUUUGAAACUGGGAAACUUGAGUGCAGGAGAGGAGAGUGGAAUUCCUAGUGUAGCGGUGAAAUGCGUAGAUAUUAGGAGGAACACCAGUUGCGAAGGCGGCUCUCUGGACUGUAACUGACACUGAGGCACGAAAGCGUGGGGAGCAAACAGGAUUAGAUACCCUGGUAGUCCACGCCGUAAACGAUGAGUACUAGCUGUCGGAGGUUACCCCCUUCGGUGGCGCAGCUAACGCAUUAAGUACU
rnacentral:rRNA from 1 species